AACGAACGCUGGCGGCAGGCUUAACACAUGCAAGUCGAACGCCCCGCAAGGGUGGUGGCCGACGGGUGAGUAACGCGUGGGAACAUAGUCUUUUCUACGGAAUAGCUCUUGGAAACGGGGAUUAAUACCGGAUACGCCUUACGGGGGAAAGAUUUAUCUGUGAAGGAUUGGCCCGCGUUGGAUUAGCUAGUUGGUGUGGUAAAGGCCUACCAAGGCGAAGAUCCAUAGCUGGGCUGAGAGGAUGAUCAGCCACAUUGGGACUGAGACACGGCCCAAACUCUUACGGGAGGAAGAAGUGGUGAAUAUUGGACAAUGGGCGCAAGCAUGAUCCAGCCAGGCCGCGUGAGUGAUGAAGGCCUUAGGGUUGUAAAGCUCUUUCAACGAUGAAGAUAAUGACGGUAGUCGGAGAAGAAGCCCCGGCUAACUUCGUG
rnacentral:rRNA from 1 species